rnacentral:piRNA from 1 species
UGAGAUGAACUGAUGCAAAACCUGA